GAUGAACGCUGGCGGCGUGCUUAACACAUGCAAGUCGAACGAAAAGGCCCUGCUUGCGGGGUGGACUAGUGGCGCAAAGGUGAGUGAAACGUGAGCAUCCUCCGCCUGACACUGGGAUAAGACCUGGAAAAAGUGGGGAAUACUGGAUAUAUCACGUCCUCGUAUGGGGUGCGGGUGGGAAGGUUUUUGGGUUGGGGAUGGGCCCGCGGCCUAUCAGCUUGUUGGUGAGGUGAUGGCUCACCAAGGCGUCGACGGGUAGCCGGCCUGAGAGGGUGACCGGCCACACUGGGACUGAGACACGGCCCAGACUCCUACGGGAGGCAGCAGUGGGGAAUAUUGCACAAUGGGCGGAAGCCUGAUGCAGCAACGCCGCGUGAGGGAUGACGGCCUUCGGGUUGUAAACCUCUUUUAGCAGGGAAGAAGCGAAAGUGACGGUACCUGCAGAAAAAGCACCGGCUAACUACGUG
rnacentral:rRNA from 1 species